UUGGGAUAGCUCAGUUGGUUGAGCAUGAGACUCUUAAUCUCAGGGUUGUGGGUUCAAGCCUAACAUUGGGUAAAAA